rnacentral:rRNA from 1 species
UUGAACGCUGGCGGCAUGCCUUACACAUGCAAGUCGAACGGCAGCACGGACUUCGGUCUGGUGGCGAGUGGCGAACGGGUGAGUAAUACAUCGGAACGUGCCUAGUAGUGGGGGAUAACUACUCGAAAGAGUGGCUAAUACCGCAUGAGAUCUACGGAUGAAAGCAGGGGAUCGCAAGACCUUGUGCUACUAGAGCGGCCGAUGGCAGAUUAGGUAGUUGGUGGGAUAAAAGCUUACCAAGCCAACGAUCUGUAGCUGGUCUGAGAGGACGAUCAGCCACACUGGGACUGAGACACGGCCCAGACUCCUACGGGAGGCAGCAGUGGGGAAUUUUGGACAAUGGGCGAAAGCCUGAUCCAGCAAUGCCGCGUGCAGGAUGAAGGCCUUCGGGUUGUAAACUGCUUUUGUACGGAACGAAAAGCUUCGGGUUAAUACCCUGGAGUCAUGACGGUACCGUAAGAAUAAGCACCGGCUAACUACGUGCCAGCAGCCGCGGUAAUACGUAGGGUGCAAGCGUUAAUCGGAAUUACUGGGCGUAAAGCGUGCGCAGGCGGUUUUGUAAGACAGAGGUGAAAUCCCCGGGCUCAACCUGGGAACUGCCUUUGUGACUGCAAGGCUAGAGUACGGCAGAGGGGGAUGGAAUUCCGCGUGUAGCAGUGAAAUGCGUAGAUAUGCGGAGGAACACCGAUGGCGAAGGCAAUCCCCUGGGCCUGUACUGACGCUCAUGCACGAAAGCGUGGGGAGCAAACAGGAUUAGAUACCCUGGUAGUCCACGCAGUAAACGAUGAAUACUAACUGUUUGCGAUACAAUGUAAGCGGUACAGCGAAAGCGUUAAGUAUUCCACCUGGGGAGUACGCCGGCAACGGUGAAACUCAAAGGAAUUGACGGGGGCCCGCACAAGCAGUGGAGUAUGUGGUUUAAUUCGAAGCAACGCGAAGAACCUUACCAGGGCUUGACAUAUAAGUGAAUAAUUAAGAGAUUAAUUAGCUCUUCGGAGCACUUAUACAGGUGGUGCAUGGUUGUCGUCAGCUCGUGUCGUGAGAUGUUGGGUUAAGUCCCGCAACGAGCGCAACCCUUGCCAUUAGUUGCUACGAAAGGGCACUCUAAUGGGACUGCCGGUGACAAACCGGAGGAAGGUGGGGAUGACGUCAAGUCCUCAUGGCCCUUAUAGGUGGGGCUACACACGUCAUACAAUGGCUGGUACAAAGGGUUGCCAACCCGCGAGGGGGAGCUAAUCCCAUAAAGCCAGUCGUAGUCCGGAUCGCAGUCUGCAACUCGACUGCGUGAAGUCGGAAUCGCUAGUAAUCGUGGAUCAGCAUGUCACGGUGAAUACGUUCCCGGGUCUUGUACACACCGCCCGUCACACCAUGGGAGCGGGUCUCGCCAGAAGUAGGUAGCCUAACCGCAAGGAGGGCGCUUACCACGGCGGGGUUCGUGACUGGGGUG